rnacentral:rRNA from 1 species
AUGAGGUGUGGGUAGCGGAGAAAUUCCAAUCGAACUCGGAGAUAGCUGGUUCUCUCCGAAAUAGCUUUAGGGCUAGCCUCAAUAUACAUUACCGCAGGUAAAGCACUGAAUGAGCUAGGGGGCGAAAGCUUACUGAACUCUAUCAAACUCAGAAUGGCGGAUAAUGAAUGAUUGGGAGUCACACUACGUGAGAUAAGUUUCGUGGUGGAAAGGGAAACAGCCCAGACCCACAGCUAAGGUCCCAAAGUACGGUUAAGUGGAAAAGGAUGUGGAAUUGCACAGACAACCAGGAUGUUGGCUCAGAAGCAGCCAUUCAUUCAAAGAGUGCGUAAUAGCUCACUGGUCGAGUGACUCUGCGCCGAAGAUUUAACGGGGCUAAAUCGUACACCGAAGCUUGGGAAUAUGCAUUUAUGUAUGUUGGUAGGAGAGCGUCGUAUGCGGGGUGAAGUCAUAGCGUAAGCGGUGGUGGACUGCAUAGGAGUGAGAAUGCCGGAAUGAGUAGCGAGAAUUAUGUGAGAAUCAUAAUGGCCGAAAGACUAAGGUUUUAGAAGGAAGGUUCGUCCGCUUCUAGUUAGCCGGGAGCUAAGGCGAGGCCGAGAGGCGUAGUCGAUGCACAUACGGUUGAGAUUCCGUAGCCACCUACGAUUUAAACUAAAGGACACAUCAAAAGGGCAUGACCCGGGCGUUGGUUGACCCGGGCGUAAGGGACCGAAAAUAAGUAGGGAAGCAUGCUUGGCUGGUGGCGAGAAAAGUUUAGUGUAUAUAAUGUAGGUGCCCGUACUGUAAACCGACACAGGUAGUCAGGAAGAGAAUUCUAAGGCCAUCGGGAGAAGCGUUGUUAAGGAACUCGGCAAAUUGACCCCGUAACUUCGGAAUAAGGGGUGCUCACGCGAGUGAGCCGCAGUGAAUAGGUCCAGGCAACUGUUUAUCAAAAACACAGCUCUCUGCUAAAUCGUAAGAUGACGUAUAGGGGGUGACACCUGCCCGGUGCUGGAAGGUUAAGAGGAGGGGUGCAAGCUCCGAAUUGAAGCCCCAGUAAACGGCGGCCGUAACUAUAACGGUCCUAAGGUAGCGAAAUUCCUUGUCGGGUAAGUUCCGACCCGCACGAAUGGUGUAAUGAUCUGGACACUGUCUCAACAACGCACCCGGCGAAAUUGUAGUACCGGUGAAGAUGCCGGUUACCCGCGGCAAGACGGAAAGACCCCAUGGAGCUUCACUGUAGCCUGAUAUUGGGUCUCGGUAUUUUAUGUACAGGAUAGGCGGGAGACUUGGAAACCAGCACGCCAGUGUUGGCGGAGUCACCCUUGGGAUACCGCUCUUAAAGUAUUGAGAUUCUAACCUGCAGCCAUGAAUCUGGCUGGGGGACAUUGUCAGGUGGGCAGUUUGACUGGGGCGGUCGCCUCCAAAAGAGUAACGGAGGCG